AUGGGGAGCACGAAGCGAGGCCUGGGGCGGGGCUUGGUCCUGGCGACGGGCUUGGAUUGGCGCGCUGCGGAUCUCCCUGCUGCCUUACAAGGCGGUGCGAGGCGAGCUAUUUUUAGAGGGCUAUAUAAGGGGGCUGAGGCUGCCGCCGGGCUGCCGGGUAACACGAGCGCGAGGGACGGGGAGGGUCGCGGCGACACUUGCGCUGGCUCCGGGGACGCCGAGGCGGCCGGGAUCGGGCUGCACGCCGGCCUCCGACCCUCGCUUUGGUGCCUAGCGGAGCCAGGGCGUUCGGAGCCGGUUCCCCUGAGAAGGGAAAGGGUCGCAUGUUGCCGUUCUGGCGUGGACGCGGCCGGUCAGGAGUCUUACUAUAGUGGAACAAAGUAUGAACUUGGGAAGCAGCCUGUUUGUAUCAGAGAAAAACAAGAAUGCCAAAGAGAUGGAGACUGGUAACAAGACUCUGAGAGACAGUUUGAACCUGGAAGAAGAU
rnacentral:lncRNA from 1 species